rnacentral:rRNA from 1 species
UACGGAAGGCAGCAGUGGGGAAUAUUGCACAAUGGGCGCAAGCCUGAUGCAGCCAUGCCGCGUGUAUGAAGAAGGCCUUCGGGUUGUAAAGUACUUUCAGUCGUGAGGAAGGUGUUAAGGUUAAUAACCUUAGCAAUUGACGUUAGCGACAGAAGAAGCACCGGCUAACUCCGUGCCAGCAGCCGCGGUAAUACGGAGGGUGCGAGCGUUAAUCGGAAUUACUGGGCGUAAAGGGCACGCAGGCGGUUAAUUAAGUUGGAUGUGAAAUCCCCGGGCUUAACCUGGGAAUGGCAUUCAAGACUGGUUAGCUAGAGUCUUGUAGAGGGGGUAGAAUUCCAUGUGUAGCGGUGAAAUGCGUAGAGAUGUGGAGGAAUACCGGUGGCGAAGGCGACCCCUGGACAAAGGACUGACGCUCAUGUGCGAAAGCGUGGGGAGCAAACAGGGAUUAGAUACC